GGUUUCAUGGUUGAAUAGUAAGGACACUUGCCCCUCACCCAAGAGUCCCGGGUUCGAUCCCCGAUCGAGGAGCUA